GUGCAGCAGGCGCGAAUACUUUACAAUGUGCGAAAGCACGAUAAGGGAACUCUGAGUGCCUCCUAAGGAGGCUGUUCAGGUGUCUAAAAGCACCUGAAGGAAGGGCUAGGUAAGACCGGUGCCAGCCGCCGCGGUAACACCGGCAGCCCAAGUGGUAGCCACGUUUAUUGGGUCUAAAGCGUCCGUAGCCGGCUGGGUAAGUUCCUUGGGAAAUUUGGCUGCUUAACAAUCAAGCUUUCAGGGAAUACUGCCCGGCUUGGGGACCGGGAGAGGUCAGAGGUACUCCAGGGGUAGGGGUGAAAUCCAUUAAUCCUUGGGGGACCACCGGUAGCGAAGGCGUCUGACCAGACCGGGUCCGACGGUGAGGGACGAAGGCUAGGGGGCGCGAACCGGAUUAGAUACCCGUGUAGU
rnacentral:rRNA from 1 species